AAUGAACGCUGGCGGCGUGCCUAAUACAUGCCAGUCGAGCGAACAGACGAGGAGCUUGCUCCUCUGACGUUAGCGGCGGACGGGUGAGUAACACGUGGAUAACCUACCUAUAAUACUGGGAUAACUUCGGGAAACCGGAGCUAAUACCAGCUAAUAUAUUGAACCGCAUGGUUCAAUAGUGCAAGGCGGUUUUGCUGUCACUUAUAGAUGGAUCCGCGCCGCAUUAGCUAGUUGGUAAGGUAACGGCUUACCAAGGCGACGAUGCGUAGCCGACCUGAGAGGGUGAUCGGCCACACUGGAACUGAGACACGGUCCAGACUCCUACGGGAGGCAGCAGUAGGGAAUCUUCCGCAAUGGGCGAAAGCCUGACGGAGCAACGCCGCGUGAGCGAUGAAGGUCUUCGGAUCGUAAAACUCUGUUAUUAGGGAAGAACAAAUGUGUAAGUAACCAUGCACGUCUUGACGGUACCUAAUCAGAAAGCCACGGCUAACUACGUG
rnacentral:rRNA from 1 species